AUACGGAGGGGGCUAGCGUUGUUCGGAAUUAUUGGGCGUAAAGCGAGUCUAGGCGGCUUGUUAAGUCAGAUGUGAAAAUGCGGGGCUCAACUCCGUAUUGCGUUUGAAACUGGCAGGCUAGAGUACUGGAGAGGUGGGCGGAACUACAAGUGUAGAGGUGAAAUUCGUAGAUAUUUGUAGGAAUGCCGAUAGUGAAGACAGCUCACUGGACAGAUACUGACGCUAAAGCUCGAAAGCGUGGGGAGCGAACAGGAUUAGAAACCCCAGUAGUCC
rnacentral:rRNA from 1 species